rnacentral:rRNA from 1 species
AGCAGCCGCGGUAAUUCCAGCUCCAAUAGCGUAUAUUAAAGUUGUUGCAGUUAAAAAGCUCGUAGUUGAAUUUCGGGAUCGAUACGUCGGUCGUGCCUUCGGUACGCACUGGCGUUUAUCGAUUUCUCCCUUCUGACGAACCAUGAUGUCAUUAAUUUGGUGUUAUGGGGAAUCAGGACUGUUACUUUGAAAAAAUUAGAGUGUUUAAAGCAGGCAUUAGCUUGAAUACAUUAGCAUGGGAUAAUGAAAUAGGACAUCAGAUUCUAUUUUGUUGGUUUCUAGGAUCGAUGUAAUGAUUAAUAGGGAUAGUUGGGGGCAUUAGUAUUCAAUUGUCAGAGGUGAAAUUCUUGGAUUUAUUGAAGACUAACUACUGCGAAAGCAUUUGCCAAGGAUGUUUUCAUUAAUCAAGAACGAAAGUUAGGGGAUCGAAGACGAUCAGAUACCGUCGUAGUCUUAACCAUAAACUAUGCCGACUAGGGAUCGGAUGAUGUUAAUUUUAUAAUUGA